GCGUCGGUAGUGCAACGGUUUAGCAGGCCCUCCCAGAAAGAAGGAGAUCUGUGUUCAAAUCCCAGCUGAUGCA